rnacentral:rRNA from 1 species
AGUGAACGCUGGCGGUAGGCCUAACACAUGCAAGUCGAACGGCAGCACAGCAAGAGCUUGCUCUUACGGGUGGCGAGUGGCGGAUGGGUGAGGAAUACAUCGGAAUCUACUUUUUCGUGGGGGAUAACGUAGGGAAACUUACGCUAAUACCGCAUACGACCUACGGGUGAAAGCAGUAGAUCUUCAUACCUUGCGCGAUUGUAUGAGCCGAUGUCGGAUUAGCUAGUUGGCGGGGUAAAGGCCCACCAAGGCGACGAUACGUAGCUGGUCUGAGAGGAUGAUCAGCCACACUGGAACUGAGACACGGUCCAGACUCCUACGGGAGGCAGCAGUGGGGAAUAUUGGACAAAGGGCGCAAGCCUGAUCCAGCCAUACCGCGUGAGUGAAGAAGGCCUUCGGGUUGUAAAACCCUUUUGUUGGGAAAGAAAAGCAGCAGGUUAAUACCCCGCUGUUCUGACGGUACCCAAAGAAUAAGCACCGGCUAACUUCGUG